rnacentral:rRNA from 1 species
CAGUCGCCGCGGGAAUACAGAGGGUGCGAGCGUUAAUCGGAUUUACUGGGCGUAAAGAGUACGUAGGCGGCUAUUCAAGUCAGAGGUGAAAGCCCGGGGCUCAACCCCGGAACUGCCUUUGAAACUAGGUAGCUAGAAUCUUGGAGAGGUCAGUGGAAUUCCGAGUGUAGAGGUGAAAUUCGUAGAUAUUCGGAAGAACACCAGUGGCGAAGGCGACUGACUGGACAAGUAUUGACGCUGAGGUGCGAAAGCGUGGGGAGCAAACAGGAUUAGAUACCCCAGUAGUCCCUGUCUCUUAUAC